rnacentral:rRNA from 1 species
ACGAACGCUGGCGGCGUGCCUAAUACCUGCAAGUAGAACGCUGAAGGAGGAGCUUGCUCUUCUGGAUGAGUUGCGAACGGGUGAGUAACGCGUAGGUAACCUGCCUGGUAGCGGGGGAUAACUAUUGGAAACGAUAGCUAAUACCGCAUAACAGUAGAUGUUGCAUGACAUUUACUUAAAAGGUGCAAUUGCAUCACUACCAGAUGGACCUGCGUUGUAUUAGCUAGUUGGUGGGGUAACGGCUCACCAAGGCGACGAUACAUAGCCGACCUGAGAGGGUGAUCGGCCACACUGGGACUGAGACACGGCCCAGACUCCUACGGGAGGCAGCAGUAGGGAAUCUUCGGCAAUGGACGGAAGUCUGACCGAGCAACGCCGCGUGAGUGAAGAAGGUUUUCGGAUCGUAAAGCUCUGUUGUAAGAGAAGAACGAGUGUGAGAGUGGAAAGUUCACACUGUGACGGUAUCUUACCAGAAAGGGACGGCUAACUACGUG